rnacentral:lncRNA from 1 species
AGAUGACUAUCAGAAUAAACAGUGAGGCAGAAAUGAUUUUCUCUGUAAUGUACUGGAAUGACAAGAGAAAUUCAUCCUCUGGAUGACUCCUGAGAAAUUCUGCCUAUAGUGGUCUCACGGAGCUUCAAAGGACAGGGUGUACUAACCCAGAAGCCAAAGAUUAGUGGCUCAGAACCCAGGUCGGACUCGGCCAGCCUGAAUUCUGGCUCUGUGCUCUGCAAUUCAGUAGCUGUGUUCAGUAAAACCAGGUUUUCUUUUUAUUUUAUAAAAUCAAGAGGAAAUGAAAAAAAUCCAAAGA